CGGGUAAGGGAAAUCAAACAGAAUAGAAAUGCUCGUGGUGACCAAAGAAGCCUUUAGCAGAUGGAUCAUCGUGCCGGAGCCCUUAGCUGGAAGGCCGCCGGCGACAAAUAAAAUCACCCAUAAAAUACUAGCCGUUGUGAGAAUGAUAACGGCAAAGAAAAUUCAAAUGGGAGCGUGAAAAAGCAUUUGAAAUCAAGAUAAAUAUAAACAAUUCAGUUACAUUCCGUUACAGACAUUCUUUCUUUCUCUGAUUGCCCCUUUCUCUCGAUGUUCUGUUUUCUGAUUGUCCCUUUCUGUCAUUGUCCUGUUCUUUCUCUCUGUUUUCUUCAAAUUUCUGUGUGUUUGCUUUGUUUUCAUUUUUAAUUUUUCUGGUUUUCAGCGUGCACGCUGGUCUGUCUGUCUUUUUUUUGGUGUUACAUUUUUCUGGCAGAGCAGGGGAAAGGCAGAGCAGAGGAAGAGACAGAGCAACCGAGGGCAAAUUCUUCUUCCAGGCAUGAGAUGCAGAACCCAGCAACAGUUCAUAUAACUGAUGCAGAGAGGAAGAAAUGGGAAGUUCCUUAUGACCUGCUUUGUUUAUAACAAGUAGCUGCUCUAGAAGGAAACCAUAUUUUCAAAAAAGGCUAACCCAGUGUUUGAAUUCUCUGUGUUCUCAGGCAAUGAGUUGUUCUUCUCCUACCCAGCUAACCCAUUUGGAUAUGCUAUCAAGCACAGAUCCCACGGAGAGGUUCUGUUCAACUCCUCAUAUGGUAGCUUGGUUUUCAGUAUCUGAUACGAAAUUGUUGGGGAAAUGGCAGUGCUAUCUGUACCAUGACUGUAAUCCUGUGGUUGUGCAUGGAGAUGUGCACCAAUGUACUAAUGGACAUCCACACUGAAGCUCGGAUAUCUGUUUUGGAUAGUCGGACUCAUGCAGAGGGAAGCCACCAUGUGCUCUAGCGCUUACAUUGCACCAGGUUCGUCUCGACUAGAUGUAGUUCAGCAGUUCACUGACCUCAUAGGACAUACAACUGCAAUGCCCUAUUGGGCUUCUGGGAAAAACUGUGGGGAUUAUUGAAGCUGAAUUUGAAGUGCUUGAUGAGGUUGACAUGAAUGAUUAAAAAUGGGACCCGGUUUGUCCCCACUAUAUGUAGUUCAGCAUUUCACUGGCCUCAUAGGAAAUACAGUUGCAAUGCCCUAUUGGGCUUCUGGCAUGACAUGCAGGACCCAGCAAGAGUUCAUAUAACCCAUGUAGAGAAGAAGAGAUGGGAAGUUCAUUAUGACUUGCUUCCUAUAUAACUGUAGCUGCUCUAGAAGCAAGCCAUGUUUCCAAAACAGCUCACCCAGUGUUUGAAUUCUGUGUGUUCUCAGGCAAUGAGUUGAUCUUCUCAUACACAGCUAAUCCACUUGGAAUUGCUAUCAAGCACAAAUCCCACGGAGAGUUUCAUCUCCAUUAGAUGCAGUUCAGUAGUUCACUGAUCUCAUACGACAUACAACUGCAAUGCCCUAUUGGGCUUUUUGCAUGAGACACAGAACCCAGCAAGAGUUCAUAUAACCGAUGCAAGGAAGAAGAGAUGGGAAGUUCUUUAUGACCUGCUUCCUAGAUCACUCGUAGCUGCUCUAGCGCAAGCCAUAUUUUCAAAACAGUUAACCCAGUGUUUGAAUUCUCUGUGUUGUCAAGCAAUGAGUUGAUCUUCUUCUGCACAACUAAUCCAUUUGGAAUCGCUAUCGAGCACAAAUCCCAUGGAGAGGUUCAUAUCCAUAGAUGCAGUUCAGCAGUUCACUGACCUCAUAGGACAUACAGCUGCAAUGCCCUAUUGGGCUUCUGGCAAUGAGUUGAUCUUCUCCUACACAGCUUGCUAUCAAGCACAAGUCCCAUGGAGAGGGGAUCGAUGUUUUAUAUACUGGCUGUAAGCUGACAUACAAGGUUAUAUUGGGGGUUCACUGGACUUCUUCUUUGCAAGUUCGUCUCCAUUAGAUGCAGUUCAGCAGUUCACUGAUCUCAUAGGACAUACAGUUGCAAUGCCCUAUUGGGCUUCUGGCGUGAGAAGCAGGACCCAGUAAGAGUUCAUAUAACCAGUGCACAGAAGAAGAGAUGGGAAUUUCUUUAUGACCUGCUUCCUAGAUCACUAUUAGUUGCUCUAGAAGGAAGCCAUAUUUCCAAAACAGCUAAACCAGUAUUUGAAUUCUCUGUGUUCUCAGGCAUUGAGUUGAUCUUCUCCUGCACAGUAAUCCAUUUGGAAUUUUCUAUCGAGCACAAGUCCCAUGGAGAGGUUUGUCUCCAUUAAAUGCAGUUACAGCUGCAAUGCCCUAUUGGGCUUUUGGUUCGUCUCCAUUAGAUGCAGUUCAGUAGUUCACUAAUCUCAUAGGACAUACAUCUACAUUGCUCUAUUGGGCUUCUGGUUCUUCUCCAUUAGAUGCAGUUCAGUAGUUCACUAACCUCAUAGGACAUACAUCUGCAAUGCCCUAUUGGGCUUCUGGUAGGUUGAAGGCCACUCUUUCAAGAAUGGUUGUCUGACAGUUUGAUAAAGAGGAGAUCCAAAGAGAGUUUAACAGUUUUUGAACUAGUUAUUUUUUCACAGUUUGGUGGGAGAAAUUGCAAGAGUGACAUUUUUGUUGUGUAUUUAGAGAAGCAAGGGAUAGAGUUGGGUAUUGACCAUUUCCUUAAUAAUAUUUUGGUCAAUGCAAUUGACCAAACAACAUUGUAAUAUGUACAAAUAUACUGUUUAAUAUUAAAAAAAUUAUUAGAAGGGACUAAAAAGCCCCUUCUAAGGAUCAAAAAGCCCCUUCUAAGGACCAAAGGGAAUAUCCAAUGGCGACAACUUAAACAAUAGGCGAUAGACCUAGGCCAUUCU